rnacentral:rRNA from 1 species
UACUAUGGAGAGUUUGAUCCUGGCUCAGGAUGAACGCUAGCGGCAGGCUUAAUACAUGCAAGUCGAGGGGCAGCACGGGUAGCAAUACCUGGUGGCGACCGGCGCACGGGUGCGUAACGCGUAUGUAAUCUACCAUUAACCGGGGAAUAGCCCAGAGAAAUCUGGAUUAAUGCCCCAUAGUAUUAUCGAAAGGCAUCUUUUGAUAAUUAAAGCUCAGGCGGUUUUUGAUGAACAUGCGUGUCAUUAGUUUGUUGGUGAGGUAACGGCUCACCAAGACUACGAUGACUAGGGGGUCUGAGAGGAUGAUCCCCCACACUGGUACUGAGACACGGACCAGACUCCUACGGGAGGCAGCAGUAAGGAAUAUUGGGCAAUGGAGGCAACUCUGACCCAGCCAUGCCGCGUGAAGGAUUGACGGCCCUCUGGGUUGUAAACUUCUUUUGUACGGGAAUAACCCUCCGAACGUGUUCGGAGCUGAAGGUACCGUAAGAAUAAGGAUCGGCUAACUCCGUGCCAGCAGCCGCGGUAAUACGGAGGAUCCAAGCGUUAUCCGGAUUUACUGGGUUUAAAGGGUGCGUAGGCGGAUUGAUAAGUCAGUGGUGAAAGCCUGCAGCUUAACUGCAGAACUGCCAUUGAUACUGCCAGUCUGGAGUAUGGUUGAGGUAGCUGGAAUGUGUCAUGUAGCGGUGAAAUGCUUAGAGAUGACACAGAACACCGACGGCGAAGGCAGGUUACCAACCCAUUACUGACGCUGAGGCACGAAAGCGUCGGUAGCGAACAGGAUUAGAUACCCUGGUAGUCC